UCUUUCACGUUAAUGGUGCUCUUCCUCGAUAUAAUGGAGCAAUGAAAUGAGAAGCUUUGCUCUGCCCCAUGCUCCCAUCAUGAUGUGCUGCCUCACCAUAGGCCCCAAAGUAAUGGAGCCAGCUUACUAUUGACUGAGACCUCCAAAACCUCAAGCAGAUAAAAACCUUCUCUUAAAAUAAACCUAAGUAUCUACCAACUGAUGAAGAGAUAAAGAAAAUGUGCUACAUAUAUACACAAGAGAAUGCUAUUCAGUCAUUUGAAAAGAUUAAAGUUCAUCAUUCACUAUAACAUAGAAUGAGAUCACUAUACUACAUGAAGUAGGCCAG
rnacentral:lncRNA from 1 species